GCAGGAUGACACCGCCCUCAUACCGAUUCUGGCCUCUCCCCACUCACCAGAAGAUCAGUCGCAGAGGGGCGCCGGUCGCCAUCUUAUUCCACGACGACGACGAUUUAAAUCAUCUAAUUGUGCUCAGGUCACGACCUUCCCAGACUUUUGGGAGUGUGAGAUUGCCAUCUACUGGCCACUUUGAGCAGCGUUCCUUUAGCUCAGAGCAGUAAACACACGAUUCUUAAGCAUUGUGCAUCUUAAAAAUCAUACAAAUUUGUUUGUUUUUGUGUUUUUGUUGGUGAUUAACUUUGAUAUUUGCACCCUAGAAUUUAUUGUUUUAUUUCUUCAUUUGUUCUGCUUGAUUGGUAUACUCUUUAUAUGUCAGUAAAAUAUAAAUAUUUACAUGUUAUUAAUUUAUGAUACUUUAAAUUUUCCAGCAUUUUUGUUAUGGAUAAUUUGGACCAAUGCGAAGCAAAUUGAGCCAGCUAGCUUGAAACACGUCGAUGAGACGCUCGCUUUGUGUCAUGUUUUCAGGAGUAUAUGAUGAAUUUAAACGAGUCAGCAUCUCAACACGCUACCGAUAUUGUUGUGGCGCUCCACUUGCAAGACAACUCAGCAAAGAUCACCAAAGUGUUUUAUUGCAAGCGUAUCAGCAACAACAACAAAAAAGGCAUGACCGUGAGCUGUUUGUGAAACUAUCACAUUUUACACACGUCACAUUUACAUUUUUAUAUGUUAUAAAAAAUACUAAACAAGUGUUGGACAUGUUGUCAUUAUUUCUGGUGCCAAGUAGAUCACAGCAAUUUCAAAAUAAAACAUUUUUGCCACUAGAGACAAACUAGUAUAUAUGCACAAUGUAUAUAUAUAUUUUAUAUUCUCUCUCAUAUUUGACAUUGAUUGAUUGAUUGAUUUAUCUUUAUUUUGAACAUAUUUAAAAUAGGGGAAAAAAUAAAACAACACUUUAGAGUGCCAUAUCUAAGUCCAUGAAACAAACAAACAAAACAAAAAAACAACAAACUGAAAAAAAAAA